UUUUAAAAUUGUUAGAUCGAAUAUCAUGGAAACUACAGAGGCAUUGAAGAAACUCCAAAAACACCGUAUUGAAGCCGCUAAGAAAAAAAUGGCAAAAUCUAAGGAAAGCCGCAACGAAAACGAAGAGGGCGAGAAGAAGGAGGAUUCCGAAAUGCCUGCAGAAGUAGCAUCACAACUAGACCAAGGAGAAGAAGAAGGAGUAGAAGGAGAAGUUGAAGAAGAAGGAUGGGGAGUUGGAGAAGGAGGAGAAGAAGAUGAUGAUGAUGAUGAUAAUGAUGAUGAUGAUGAUGAUGAAAAUGAUGAUGAUGAUGAUGAUGAUGAUGAUGUGAAUUAUGAGGAGGCGGAACGCAUGGACGAAUCAUCUUAAAAGUAGCAUCCCAACCAGACGAAGUAGAAGAAGAGGGGGAAGAAGGAGAAGAAGAAGGAUCGGCAGAUGGAGAAGGAGGAGGAGAAGAGGAUGAUGUGGAAUGUGGGGAGGGGGAAGGCAUCGUCCUUGAGAACAAAUCAUCCUAAUUGUUUAGCUUCCAAAAUCAUAAUGGACGAGAGGCUCAACUGCUUAUUAUAAAUUCAUUCGACUUCAUUGAAGAUACACAAAUACUCGUACUGCCGUACAAUAAACUCAAACUUUCACAAGAAGCUGCACUUAGAACAACACACAUUUAAAAAUUGUUAGAUCGAAUAUCAUGGAAACUACAGAGGCAUUGAAGAAACUCCAAAAACACCGUAUUGAAGCCGCUAAGAAAAGAAUGGGGAAAUCUAAGGAAAGCCAACGAAAACAAAGAGGGCGAGAAGGAGGAUUUCGAAAUGGCCGAAGAAGUAGCAUCACAACUAGACCAAGGAGAAGAAGAAGGAGGAGAAGGAGAAGUUGAAGAAGAAGGAUGGGGAGUUGGAGAAGGAGGAGAAGAAGAUGAUGAUGAUGAUGAUAAUGAUGAUGAUGAUGAUGAUGAUGAUAAUGAUGAUGAUGAUGAUGUGAAUUAUGAGGAGGCGGAACGCAUGGACGAAUCAUCUUAACUGUAGCAUCCCAACCAGACAAAGUAGAAGAAGAGGGGGAAGAAGAAGGAUGGGGAGAUGGAGAAGGAGGAGAAGAAGAUGAUGAUGAUGUGGAUGGUGAGGAGGGGGAAGGCAUCGUCCUUGAGAACAAAUCAUCCUAAUGGGCUAUAUGGGCUAUUGUCAGCUUCCCAAUCCCCUAAAUGAUGUCCUUCCUAGUAUUCGUACCGUUUAUGUUGAUGAUAACUCUAUAUUUUGCGUAGCUUAGCGCAAUUGAAAUGUCAACAAUAGUAAAAGUGUUACCAUCAACGCACUUUUGCUGUAUUUCUUAUGGAGCUCCUGCUUGAGCAAGAUACUAUUUCACAUCUGUUCCUUAUUAAAGUCAUCCAAUUAUAUAACAACCGACGGCAAUUGCAGGAUUAAGAAUGGUCAUCAUCAAUCCUAGUUUCUAAUGCUGCCGUGUUCGACAAAUGCCUGGUCUUGAAUGCCCUUGCAUAUCACGCAAUUCCGUUACGAAGGACUAUGGAUAAAUUGGUCGUGAGAAACUUUGAAAAUAAUACGAUGAAUUCUUUAAAUCAGCUAUACGAAAGUUCUAUAUUCCUGUAAAUGCAAGUGACACAUGCAGACCUUGCAAAUACAAGUACAAGGAGCUAACAAAUCUAUAACAAUUAUGUAUUUCAUAUGAUUAUUAUUGUAAUAAAUUAUUUGUCUUUCUGUUUAA